ACGGGAGGCAGCAGUGGGGAAUAUUGCACAAUGGGGGAAACCCUGAUGCAGCGACGCCGCGUGAGUGAAGAAGUAUUUCGGUAUGUAAAGCUCUAUCAGCAGGGAAGAAAAUGACGGUACCUGACUAAGAAGCCCCGGCUAACUACGUGCCAGCAGCUGCGGUAAUACGUAGGGGGCAAGCGUUAUCCGGAUUUACUGGGUGUAAAGGGUGCGUAGGCGGGAAUGCAAGUUGGAUGUGAAAUACUGGGGCUCAACCCCGGAACUGCAUCCAAAACUGUGGUUCUUGAGUGGAGUAGAGGUAAGCGGAAUUCCGAGUGUAGCGGUGAAAUGCGUAGAUAUUCGGAGGAACACCAGUGGCGAAGGCGGCUUACUGGGCUCUAACUGACGCUGAGGCACGAAAGCAUGGGGAGCAAACAGGAUUAGAUACCCUGGUA
rnacentral:rRNA from 1 species